AACGCACAUUGCGCCCGCUAGUAUUCUGGCGGGCAUGCCUGUUCGAGCGUCAUUUCAACCAUCAAGCUCCUGUGCUUGUGUUGGAGCCCUGCGGCUGCCGCAGGCUCCCAAACCCAGUGGCGGGCUCGUCGUCGUACCGAGUGCAGUAAACUUACCACGCUCAGGGCACGAGACGGGUGACCGGCCGUAAAACCCCCUACUUCUCAAAGGUUGACCUCGGAUCAGGUAGGAAUACCCGCUGAACUUAA
rnacentral:misc_RNA from 1 species